rnacentral:rRNA from 1 species
GCACAAGCGGUGGAGCAUGUGGUUUAAUUCGACGCAACGCGAAGAACCUUACCAGGGCUUGACAUGCACUGGAAAACCGUAGAAAUACGGUCCCCCUUCGGGGCCAGUGUGCAGGUGCUGCAUGGCUGUCGUCAGCUCGUGUCGUGAGAUGUUGGGUUAAGUCCCGCAACGAGCGCAACCCUUAUCUUCAGUUGCUACCAUUUAGUUGAGCACUCUGACGAAACCGCCUCGGAUAACGGGGAGGAAGGUGGGGAUGACGUCAAGUCCUCAUGGCCUUUAUGUCCAGGGCUACACACGUGCUACAAUGGCCGGUACAAACCGCUGCAAACCCGCGAGGGGGAGCUAAUCGGAAAAAGCCGGCCUCAGUUCGGAUUGGAGUCUGCAACUCGACUCCAUGAAGCUGGAAUCGCUAGUAAUCGUGGAUCAGCAUGCCACGGUGAAUACGUUCCCGGGC